rnacentral:rRNA from 1 species
UAACGCGUGAGCAAUCUGCCUUUAAGAGGGGGAUAACAGUCGGAAACGGCUGCUAAUACCGCAUAAAGCAUCAAAUUCGCAUGUUUUUGAUGUCAAAGGAGCAAUCCGCUUUUAGAUGAGCUCGCGUCUGAUUAGCUGGUUGGCGGGGUAACGGCCCACCAAGGCGACGAUCAGUAGCCGGACUGAGAGGUUGAACGGCCACAUUGGGACUGAGACACGGCCCAG